rnacentral:rRNA from 1 species
UAAGUGGGAAACGAUGUGGGAAGGCUUAGACAGCUAGGAGGUUGGCUUAGAAGCAGCCACCCUUUAAAGAAAGCGUAAUAGCUCACUGGACUAGUGGUUCUGCGCCGAAAAUGUAACGGGGCUUAAGAUACGUACCGAAGCUAUGGACUUUUUAAAGUGGUAGGAGAGCAUUGUGUUUACCGAUGAAGGUGUACCGCGAGGAGCACUGGAGGUCCCACAAGAGCUGAUGAUGGCAUGAGUAGCGAUAAGGAAUGUGAGAAUCAUUCCCGCCGAAAAUCUAAGGGUUCCUGGGCCAGGUGACUCCGCCCAGGGUUAGUCGGAUCCUAAGGUGAGGCCGAAAGGCGUAAUCGAUGGAUAACAGGUUAAUAUUCCUGUACUUAGUAUGUCUCGCUUGACUUGAUGGAGUGACGGAGAAAGGUAGCAAAGCCACCUGUUGGAUGGUGGUUUAAGCACGUAGGGGGACUGGAUAGGUAAAUCCGUCUGGUUGUUAACCCUGAGAUGCGAAUACGAGGCGUAAGCCGAAGUUUGUGAUCCUCUGCUUCCCAGAAAAACUUCGCAAGGAGAGAUAUAUUAAUCCGUACCGUAAACCGACACAGGUAGAUGAGGAGAGAAUCCUCAGGCGCUUGGGAGAACUCUAGUUAAGGAACUCUGCAAAUUGGAGCCGUAACUUCGGGAUAAGGCUCGCCCUUGUUGGUGAUAUCACUUGCUGAUAAAGCUGAUGGGGGCCGCAGUGAAAAGGGGGUAGCGACUGUUUAUCAAAAAC